rnacentral:tRNA from 1 species
GGUUUUAUGGUGUAACGGUUAGCACUCCAGACCCUGAAUCUGGCGAUCUGGGUUCAAAUUCCGGUAAAACCU